CAACCCUCAAGCCCCGGCUUGGUGUUGGGGAUCGGCACAAGGGAAGCCCCCGGGCGACCCCGCCGUCCCCUAAAUUCAGUGGCGGUCCCGCCGCAGCCACCUCUGCGUAGUAGUUUUCUCCUCGCAAGGGCAGCUCGACGACGACCACGCCGUAAAACCCCCAACUUCUGAAA
rnacentral:misc_RNA from 1 species